rnacentral:ribozyme from 1 species
CAUCGGAAACGUCCAAGGUGGAUGCGGAAAUUCAAACAAAAUUGAAACUUGCCAUGCAAGCAUUGUAAAAAACACGAAACAAAACAAAAAGGAUUUCUUGCCUUUUUUUUUCCUUUCUU